AUGUCGCCGCCACCCGCCAGGUGGAAGGGCACGUGCACGGGCUUGGUCAGGCCCGUCCGGUGCAACAACAAGCUCAUCGGCGUCAGGUCCUUCGUGGACUACAGCCCUGAUGACGAGACCGGCCACGGCACGCACGUGGCGUCGAUUGCGGCGGGCAACUUCGUCGCCAAUGCCUCGUCAUCCCACGGACAGGCCACUGGGACGGCCGCCGGGAUCGCUCCCGGCGCACACUUGGCCAUGUACAAGGCCUGCAGGCCCACUGGGUGCCUCCGUUCGAACGUAGUUCACGCGAUUGACACGGCGGUGGGCGACGGGGUCGAUGUGAUCAACAUCUCCCUCGUCCGUGAGUGGCCAUUGGCGCAUUCCGCGCGGUGGCCAAGGGCGUCGUCUUCGUGA
rnacentral:rRNA from 1 species